ensembl:lncRNA
AUGAGUUGUGGCAAUGGAAGUAAGGCCAGUGGCUACGAGGGACAGUCUUCAUCUUGGGAGAUCCAUCGAGAUGGCAGGGAGCCCCUUGACAUGUGGAAUGUGGUCUCCCUCGGGUGCUGGUGGAUCCCACAGGUGGUCUGGCAUGGAAGAGGGCCACAGGCUACGAUGGAUGAUCUUUGUCUUGGGAGAUUCCUGGAGAUGGUGGGGAGCCCCUGGGCACGUGCGGCACAUGUGGCAUGGGCUUCUUCAGGAGCUGGUGGACCCCUCAGGAUGAUCUUCAAGGUUUUUCUCUGA